rnacentral:rRNA from 1 species
GCGUGAGUGACGAAGGCCUUAGGGUUGUAAAGCUCUUUCGGCGGGGAAGAUAAUGACGGUACCCGCAUAAGAAGCUCCGGCUAACUUCGUGCCAGCAGCCGCGGUAAUACGAAGGGAGCUAGCGUUGUUCGGAAUUACUGGGCGUAAAGCGCACGUAGGUGGACAGUUUAGUCAGGGGUGAAAGCCCGAGGCUCAACCUCGGAAUUGCCUUUGAUACUGGCUGUCUAGAGUUCGAGAGAGGUGGGUGGAAUUCCUAGUGUAGAGGUGAAAUUCGU